rnacentral:sRNA from 1 species
GCGGGGUGCAGUGGUGCAUACCUGUAAUCCCAGCAGCCCAGGAGGCUGAGGCAGGAGAUUCACGAGUUCAAAGCCAGCCUCAGCAAACUUAGUGAGGAUCGAAGUGAGACCCUGUCUCUA